UAGCUUAAGCAGUGGGGUUUUGCUAACUUGACUCUUUCAGACUGAAAUUAAUUAGGGUGCUUGCCAACCUCCAACCCUUAGGCCAGCUGCUUGUGGGCUCUGUGUGCGUUCACAUCCUGAAGCACAAUUGAAAGGCCUGUUCCUCUCUUAGGUGCAUUGGCAGAUGGGUCAAUGAAAUAUUAGUGGGACACACCAGGUGGUUUUCUUCAGUAUUUGUGGUGUCUGUGCUUGAAGAGCUGCAGUAACAGAAGGCAACUAUCAGUAAUCCCAUAUGACCCUCAAGAAUCCACUAUGUCAAAGAUCAGUCUAUAUCCUAAGUAGCUGCUCAACUUUGU